rnacentral:rRNA from 1 species
GGGCGAAAGCCUGACGGAGCAACGCCGCGUGAGUGAUGAAGGUCUUCGGAUCGUAAAACUCUGUUAUUAGGGAAGAACAUGUGUGUAAGUAACUGUGCACAUCUUGACGGUACCUAAUCAGAAAGCCACGGCUAACUAUGUGCCAGCAGCCGCGGUAAUACGUAGGUGGCAAGCGUUAUCCGGAAUUAUUGGGCGUAAAGCGCGCGUAGGCGGUUUUUU